UGGGGAAUAUUGCGCAAUGGGCGAAAGCCUGACGCAGCAACGCCGCGUGAGUGAUGAAGGCCUUCGGGUCGUAAAGCUCUGUCGGAGGGAACGAAUGCUCCUGAAGUUAACAGCCUCAGGAGGUGACGGUACCCUCAAAGGAAGCACCGGCUAACUCUGUGCCAGCAGCCGCGGUAAGACAGAGGGUGCAAACGUUGUUCGGAAUUACUGGGCGUAAAGCGCGUGUAGGCGGCGUAGCAAGUCGGGCGUGAAAGCCCACGGCUCAACCGUGGAAGAGCACUCGAAACUGCUGCGCUAGAGUUCUGGAGAGGAAGGCGGAAUGCUUGGUGUAGAGGUGAAAUUCGUAGAUAUCAAGCGGAACACCGGUGGCGAAGGCGGCCUUCUGGACAGUGACUGACGCUGAAACGCGAAAGCGUGGGGAGCAAACAGGAUUAGAUACCCCAGUAGUCCCUGAGCGGGCUGGCAAGGCGCAU
rnacentral:rRNA from 1 species